rnacentral:rRNA from 1 species
GACGAACGCUGGCGGCGUGCCUAAUACAUGCAAGUAGAACGCAGUUGCGAACGGGUGAGUAACGCGUAGGUAACUGCAUGGUAUCGGGGGAUAACUAUUGGUAACGAUAGCUAAUACCGCAUACUACCAGAUGGACCUGCGUUGUAUUAGCUAGGUGGUGAGGUAACGGGUCACCAAGGCAACGAUACAUAGCCGACCCGGGAGGGUGGUCGGCCACACUGGGACUUGGACACGGCCCAGACUCCUACGGGAGGCAGCAGUAGGGAAACUUCGGACAAUGGGGGAACCCUGACCGAGCAACGGCGGGUGAGUGGAGGAAGUUUUCGGAUCGUAAAGCUCUGUUGUUAAGGGAGCGGUACUUAACCAGAAAGGGACGGCUAACUACGUGCCAGCAGCCGCGGUAAUUC